UACGGAGGGUGCGAGCGUUGUCCGGAAUCACUGGGCGUAAAGGGCGCGUAGGUGGCCCGUUAAGUGGCUGGUGAAAUCCCGCGGCUCAACUGCGGGGCUGCCGGUCAGACUGGCGAGCCAGAGCACGGUAGGGGCAGAUGGAAUUCCCGGUGUAGCGGUGGAAUGCGUAGAUAUCGGGAGGAACACCAGUGGCGAAGGCGGUUACCUGGAGCUUUGCUGACGCUGAUGCGCGAAAGCGUGGGGAGCGAGUCCGG
rnacentral:rRNA from 1 species